AUACGGAGGAUGCAAGCGUUAUCCGGAUUUAUUGGGUUUAAAGGGUGCGUAGGCGGAACUGUAAGUCAGGGGUGAAAUACUGCAGCUUAACUGUAGCAUUGCCUUUGAAACUGCCGUUCUUGAGUACAGUUGAGGUAGGCGGAAUGUGGUGUGUAGCGGUGAAAUGCAUAGAUAUACCACAGAACGCCGAUUGCGAAAGCAGCUUACUAAGCUGUUACUGACGCUGAGGCACGAAAGCGUGGGGAUCAAACAGGAUUAGAUACCCUGGUAGUCCACGCUGUAAACGAUGAUUACUGGUUGUUAGCGAUAUAUAGCUAGUGACCGAGCGAAAGCAUUAAGUAAUCCACCUGGGGAGUCCGUCGGCAACGAUGAAACUCAAAGGAAUUGACGGGG
rnacentral:rRNA from 1 species